rnacentral:rRNA from 1 species
UACGGAGGGUGCAAGCGUUAUCCGGAUUCACUGGGUUUAAAGGGUGCGCAGGCGGUUGUUUAAGUCAGGGGUGAAAGCCCUAUGCUCAACAUAGGGAUUGCCUUUGAUACUGAACGGCUAGAGUGAAGAUGGAGUGGGUGGAAUGUGUUGUGUAGCGGUGAAAUGCAUAGAUAUAACACAGAACACCGAUCGCGAAGGCAGCUCACUAAUUUUCAACUGACGCUCAUGCACGAAAGCGUGGGGAUCAAACAGG